UACAUAACCUUUUCCUUUUGAGUUUAAUGUAUUUUUAUCGGUGAAUCAAAGUUUAGCUUAUUUCUCCCUUCGUCUCUUUGCUUCCCCAUCGGUUUUAUCAAAGAGCAAACUCCACGGAGAAGAAGAAAACCAAGACUUAACUAUAUUUUUGUGUGGCUCAACUAACCUCCAACUUCUAAAAUUCAUAUGCGAAUUCAAUGGAAACCAACAACCUCUAGAUCGUUGUAGAUCGGAGACUAAUUGGUUGAUCAAAACAUUCAAUCUAAGAAGAAAGCAGGGGAUGUGAAAUUUAGAGGAUGAAUGGAUUAUCAUGUUGAAGAUCAGGUUGAACCCUUUCGUAUAAGGUUAUUAGUUGAAUUUUAGCAAAAAAAAAAGAUCAGGUAUUGGCAUAUGAAAUAAAAACUCCAAACAUAGAAUCUAGUUAAUCGGAAUCGUCAUACAAAGGUUAGUACUUGUUUUAUAAUAAGGUUGAUUUCAAAUGUCUUAAAUGUUUUUCAGACAUGAAGUAUUAGUAUCAAAACCAUCUCAUAGUUCUGUUAUAUAGAGAGAUAGACAGUAGCAUCCGAUUUAUUGAAGAGCGAUUCUUAAGAUUUGGGUCAGAUUGAUAAACAGAGAGAUAAAUCGUGAGAAGAGUAGCAAACAGAAGUACUGAAGCAAUAUGGAUUAAAGGGGAGACAGAGAAAGGAAGAACGUAAUAUGUGUCUCUCAGUUUUCUUUUGCUUCUUUCUUGUUCUGAGAUUUUUUUUAACUUGUUUAAAUAAUAUUUACAGCUCAAAAGGUAUUCAAGGUUGUCCAUGUCCCCACAGUUGAUGUCACUAAUCAUAUAUGUGUCUUGUCUCAUAUCUCUGUCUGAUAUUCUAAUUCUAAUAUAUGUACAGAUUGAAUAAACGUUUCCUCCUUCUGAUAAGAUAGCAAACCCAUUGAUCAAUGAAGCUGAGGAUGAAAUCUUUCAAAUGUUUGAUAUGAAACUGUAACAGAGAUUUCUAUGACCCAGUUGAGGAAGAUGAAUUUGAACAGGAUGCUAAGGUCCAUAUAUUGUUCCCAACUGAACCUCUUCCGUGAUGAACUCAAGAGUUUCUCCACCACUACGGGUGUUUUGCUUCCACGGAUGAGGCAAUCUGACACGAACUGGCCACCCGAUUUUAUACGCUUUGACAUCCUUUAGAAGAGACAUAUUUUUUGCGUUCGCCAUGUUUUUUGUGAAUGAAGAGUGAAAUAUGGAUAGGUAGUAGGUAAUUCUAGACCCAGUAUAUAUAUAUAUAUAUGGGUGAAGAGUCUAGGUUAAGAGGGUAGAUAUGGCGAGUUUAGAUACAGCUCGGAUAUCCUCUGCCUUCAAUUUUUUAAAGUUAAUCGUAUGAUUGUAUC